rnacentral:rRNA from 1 species
GGGAUAACCUUGCGAAAGUAAGACUGAUACCCAAUGAUAUCUCUAGAAGACAUCUGAAAGAGAUUAAAGAUUUAUCGGUGAUGGAUGGGGAUGCGUCUGAUUAGCUUGUUGGCAGGGUAACGGCCCACCAAGGCGACGAUCAGUAGGGGUUCUGAGAGGAAGGUCCCCCACAUUGGAACUGAGACACGGUCCAAACUCCUACGGGAGGCAGCAGUGAGGAAUAUUGGUCAAUGGACGAGAGUCUGAACCAGCCAAGUAGCGUGCAGGAUGACGGCCCUAUGGGUUGUAAACUGCUUUUAUAAGGGAAUAAAGUUAGUCUCGUGAGACUUUUUGCAUGUACCUUAUGAAUAAGGACCGGCUAAUUCCGUGCCAGCAGCCGCGGUAAUACGGAAGGUCCGGGCGUUAUCCGGAUUUAUUGGGUUUAAAGGGAGCGUAGGCCGGAGAUUAAGCGUGUUGUGAAAUGUAGACGCUCAACGUCUGCACUGCAGCGCGAACUGGUUUCCUUGAGUACGCACAAAGUGGGCGGAAUUCGUGGUGUAGCGGUGAAAUGCUUAGAUAUCACGAAGAACUCCGAUUGCGAAGGCAGCUCACUGGAGCGCAACUGACGCUGAAGCUCGAAAGUGCGGGUAUCGAACAGGAUUAGAUACCCUGGUAGUCCGCACGGUAA